rnacentral:lncRNA from 1 species
GGAAGAGAAGAUCUUUUACUAUGCCAUACAUAGAUAUUGUGCGGAAAGAUCGGGUAACAUUCACUUUUGUAGCAGCAAUUCGCCGCAGACUUUGCAAACAAUUUCAUAAUGGAUCCAUAGAGAUGUGGCAACCCAAUGCAGUUGAGACCAUUCUUGCACGGGCGCACAAAAAGAAAAAAAAAAAAAUCCUACCAUUUCU